UUAAAUUGAAGAGUUUGAUCAUGGCUCAGAUUGAACGCUGGCGGCAGGCCUAACACAUGCAAGUCGAACGGUAACAGGAAACAGCUUGCUGCUUUGCUGACGAGUGGCGGA
rnacentral:rRNA from 1 species